GACCGCGUAGCUCAGUUGGCAGAGCAUUGGGCUAGUAUUCCAAAAGUCGUAGGUUCGAUUCCCACCGUGGCCA